CUCAUGGAUAGUGUGAUUGCAGCGUGGUAGCGGGCAGGGAUCCCUCCUCUUGACUAUGACACAGGGAGAUAAGAGCUUUGACUCCCCCACUCUGUUUGGGGUAGGAGGAUAGGUGUACUCUGAUAGCAUCCUGCCCACUCGAUCACUUAGGAGUAGUGAUGGCAGAGUGCACAGUUGUCAUAGCCCUACCCAUUCGGUCUCACCAUCGCGUGUGAAAUGGUUGACUGGCAUCAGGGGUGACCAUGUCAUUUGCAUCAUAUGCAUAGAUUGCAUUUAUUGUUUGUGAUUGCUGCAUAUUGGAUACUGUAUUUUUGUGAUUGCAUAUGAUUGACAUGCAUACAGGAGACAUGAGGUAUUUGGUCUGACGACUCUUAUAUCCGGAUAGGAGGUUCUAGUUGAAGUUGUCAGGAGGUUCCAGUCGCUAGUCCCCACUCCAUGUUGUGAUGGUUUUCUGUUUUCAGUCAGUUAUGUAUAUACAUAUUGGUGAUGCGUGUGUCUUGUACUCGUGGAUUUUAUAUCGGGAUUCGGGUAUGAUGUCCAUGUUUUCCGCUGCGGUAGUUUUUAUGUUGUGGGUUGUGUUUUCCCUCAUUGUAGUGGAGUAGGUUUUUAUUAAACUGCGUGGUUGUAAUUGUCAGCAAGAGGCUGUACUAUAUAAACUGCGUGGAUUGUUUAUUUAA